CCUUGUCUGUGGAGUCUUUCCUGCAAACGUAGAUCUUUGGAUAUGAAAAAUAGUUCAGCUGCUGACCAGCACAGUGAGGGAGGGAAUUGUCCACUUCUACUCUGACCUUACCAGGCCCCAUCUGGAGUACUAUGUCCAGACCUGAGGUCCCCAGCACAAGGAAGAUGUGGACCUUUUGGAGAGGGUCCAGAGGAAGGCCACAAGGAUGAUCAGAGGUCUGGAGCAUCUCUUGUACUGAGACAGGUUGAGGGAGUUUGGCUUUUUCAGACUGGAAAAGAGAAGUUUCUCUAAGGCCUCACUACAGCCUUCCAAUAUUUAAAGAGAUUGUGGAUGCCCUGUUCCUAGACAUGUUCCAGGCCAGGAUGGAUGGGGAUGUGGGCAGCCUGAUCUUGUGCUUCAUCUAGUGGUUGGCAAUUCUGCUCAUAACAAGGUUGAAAAUAGUUGGAGGAGACCUCAAAGAUCACCUCAAGACAUUCUGCAAUUCUUAAAAUGUCUUGGUUUCUUUUGUAAUAUCAGUGUGUUGAAAAUAAUACCUCCUAAGACACUAAUAAUUCUGCCUCCAAAAAGUGCGUACAACUUCACUCCAACUUUAGAAAAGGAUGAAUUACACUUUCUUUUUAAACAUUAGAAAUUCAUUUGGCAACUACAGUAUUGUCGAAGCAAAUUGAUUUAUAAGAUGCCAGGAUCUCAACCAUUUUCUAUAUAACUGAACAGUGAAAUAAAGGCCUGGGGAAGUAGUGAUGAUGUCCAAAAGAGAUGUUUCCUGCAAGUGAUAGAUAGACCACUGGUUUUAUGGAAGAGUGAGGUGGUGAUAAUACUUUCUUCUUGCAUAUUACAAGCCCUUGCUUAACCAUAAUUUGCAACAUUCCACUUUCAUAAGCUAGAAAGUUGUCUUACAGGACAUGUUGAAGGACUUUGGCCUUCAAGCAGCUAAAGGAGAGGAACACAGCUAACCUGUUGUUUAAAGGAUGUCUUCAAGAUAACACUGUUGUAUAUGCAAAUACAGACCUUUUGCUACUAUGGUAGUGUAUUUGUCUUACUUUUAAUGUGUCUUAGAUGACUAAAAUUUCCCCAGAUGUUUAUUCUCAUUUACAGGCAGCAAUAGAAUUCAUUGUAGUGAGAUUGUCUGAGACAAGUUGAAGAGACUAUCCUUCAUAAAAGAAACAAAUACAUCUUUCUAGGCUUCAGUAUGUGCCUCUUACUGAGGAGAUGAUUCAGAUGCUCAUGUGAAGGAGUGUGAGCUGGUUUCCGUGGGAGACAUUUCUGGAAAAUUAAGAGAGAGGCUGAUGAAAUUCAACUGCAAGACUUUUUCCAGGGAGAAGGUUGAAUUGAUAUUAGGAAAUCUGAAAAUUGGAUGGUCUUUAUGAUUUUGAUUUGUUUGUUAUUCUCACAACUGAAAAUAACCUAAGUUGCAAACAGAACAUACAUUAUCUGUUUAUUUCUGUGAACAAACAAAAAACCCGUGUUUUCAAUUGUUACUCUUCUUUGGCAUGUAAAGAUGUUCUUCCUGAUUCUGUAGAAAUAUUGCAUAGCACAAAAAUAAUGUUUCAUUUGUGAAAAAUUUCAACAAAAUUUGCCUACCUGUGUGACAUACUGGAGGGUAUCUGCAUUAGCAAGGGUUAGACUCUGUGAUUU